UGAAAAACUCUUUGUAAAUAAUCCCAUUUAUGAAACUCCCGAAAGAGAGGUCUGGUUGCCAAGCUUCCUUUAAUGUUAUCUAAGUACUAGCUAAACAUUACUAGCAGAGUACAUUUUAAUUGGUUGUGUAACAGUUGAAGCAUAUUGCCCAGAAGGUAAGCAGUUCAAAAAUCCUGAUCUAGAUUUAUGAUCUCUUGUACCCAAAGAGGAUCCUUGUAACUAUGAGAAUGAUGAGUUACUGCCAAGGCUAAAGGCAGAUUAUUUCAACUAUGAAUAUAUAGCAAUAUUCUUCUCAGCAUAUAUAUAUAUGCAAGAUAAGUUAGAUUGAAGUGUUCCAUAUUUAUAUAAGCUGUAUUGCAUGCAAAGAAAUAUGCAGUAGUUUAACAAGUGUGAUGAUUGCCCGUAUGAAAUGAUGGGGCUUUCUGUGCUCCUAAAUCAGGGUACGUCAGGAAAUGAAUUUAACUAGUCAAGAAUCUUGUUUCACUCAGUGGCCAGCGACAUCCCUAUGCAAAAUCAGCAGACAAGGAGCAAAACAGCAUCUGCUUUGGUCAACCACUCUUUAGAGAUAUAUAUGUCAAUGUAUCAAUUUCAGCAGUUCUAGUUGUUGUUUUUUAAAAAAAUAUCUAGACUCCUAGUCAUUGUUUAUGAAGUAUUUUAUAAAGUUUCUGGCAUAUUUAUACACCUGGUAUCUACAGUUAGAAGAUCUUUGCAUACAUUUUACUUAGUUGUUCAAGCUAUAUUGCUACAAUAUUGUUUGAAUGUACUAUUACAUAGUUUCAGCAAAACUUAAAACACCUCUUGUAUACAGUGAAGAAAUGCAGCACAUAAAAACAACUUGAACAACUUGAAGAGAGGACCCUGCAACAGCCAAAAUCCAAAAAGCAUGAAGAAAACAGACCCAAAUAUAUAAACACAACUCGGUUCUCAAGCCUUACAUUUCAAGAACACUGCCAAAUGAUGUGCAGGAAAGUUUUGUAAGUUAAAAUAAACCUUGUCAUGCCAAAAGUACCAGGAUUUAGUAAGUCCUGCA